rnacentral:tRNA from 2 species
GGGGCUGUAGCUCACUUGGGAGAGCGCAACACUGGCAGUGUUGAGGUAGAGGGUUCGAAUCCCUCCAGCUCCACCA